ensembl:lncRNA
GACAGCGAGAGGCACGUUGCACAUACAGUACAUAUACAAAAGCAUAUGCAGUCACAUAUAUUCACCCACACACACAAGAUCCCACUGCAGGUGAGCGGGGGUCCUUCGGCUGUUUGACAGGAGGCAGCGUCUCCCCGGAACAGCAGCUCCGGGUGGCGCACCAUCAUCAUCAUCAUCAUCAUCAUGAUGGUUGUGGUUGUUAGCGCGUCUCAGUCUCCCACUGGUCCCUGCAGCUGCAGCCGCUCCUCAUCAGUCGAGUUGAGGGCCCGACCCUUGUAACAACUCCCAUCGACACUGACGCCCGCCAGAAGCAGCCGCGGCCAGAAAGAAACGAGCGUGAAAGUGGGAUCAUUAUUAUUUUCAUAAUGUUGUUUUUUUGUGCGCUCAGUCGGACCCCUGGCGUACCGGCGCGCCGCCCCGCUGAAUUGUAAUGAACUCAGGACUGAAGAGAGGUGUUUUUCAUGAGGGCCGAGGAGACAGUCAGUUUUCAAAGAUGGCACGCAAGUUUAGAGGGUCAGUGCAGCCGAAUGACAAAAACUGUUGGCUCACUUCAAUUUCUUUUGUGUAGCCUAAAAUCACAAAUUAGCCUCAAAGGGCUUUAGAAUCUGUACACAUGCAACAUCCUCUGUCCCGGAAAGGUCACAUCGGCACAGCAAAACCUCACAUCUGGUCGUAUGUAACAAUGCAGAUUGGGUUGUACUAACAAGAACAUCCACCUCUGGAUUUCUGCCUUCAGUCCAACACAAUGUGUUGAAACAUGACUUGAAGAAAUAAAGAUAAUCUGAAUGUAUUAAAAGUAGUAUCAAGUAAAAAGUAUCAAAAGUUGCUGUUGAAUUCUUGGACGUAUUUUUAAGUUUGUUUAAGCUUCAGUUUUAAGAUGUUUUAAGAUUUCUGCCUCGACCUCGAUCUACUUAAGGUUAAUGGAAUGUAGAAUGCAUUAUGAAAUAAUCGCAGAGGCUGGGGACUGAAAAAUGAAAUGCAAAACAACGCUUUAGUGAUCUUAGCUUGGGGUAUUUGAAAGUUAAAAAAAUACGUAAUAAGUGUAAAUAUUCAUAUGAAUUCAAAGGAUGUGGGAAAACCCAAAUUUGCAUUCUCAGUCACACACAUAUGCGCACGUACACACACACACACACUCUCAUACACACACGCACAAACGAAGCACAAUCGUUUGUUGACCGGUGCAAAGAAAUGUGCAUGUUUGUAGCCGGCUACGAGGUCAGUGAUUUGAAUUAUAAAAAAAGUUGAUAUGACAAUAAAACCAUUUAUAGAUAUCAUUGGAAACUAUUGAUGGUAUCAUGUAACAUUAUGUGAUGUCGCGUUGGAUUUGUACAACCAAAGGUCGGACCCUCCCAUCUGCACUCCGACGCGUUUGAAUGUUUAGGAUAAAACGGAACCUGCCAGCAUUUUCAUUUCUGCGGGGGGGAAGUUACCGUCGGUGAGAUUCAUGCUAGUUUGGCUUUUAAAAUAUUCAAACCGUAUCCUCAUUACAAUUGUAUCUCUAUUCUCGUAAUUACAGAACGUUUGUCAAAAAAAUGGUAUCCUCCAUCUAGAGAACACAGAUAUGAGGGAAAUGUUUUGAACGUGUGGAUAUUGGGCUAAAAGUCAUACUGCUAAAUUCCACGGGUUAAUAGAUACAUCUCAGCAGAGGUGUCAAAAGUAUUCACAUUUAUUACUGAAGUAGAAGUACAGAUACUAGGGUUUAAAAAUACUCCUGUAGAAGUUGAAAUAUCGACUCAAGCUUUUUACUUAAGUAAAAGUAUAAAAGUACUGGUUUCAAAACUACUUAAAGCAUGAAAGUAAAAGUAAUGUAAGAAAUUCUAUUACGGACUCUUAACGAACUCUUAAUGUGUAAUCUCACUCACACAACACGUCAGUCCGUUACAAUGUGAUCAGAAGGCGCCUGCAGAUCACGUGACCUGCCGUUGGGAUGGUGGAAAUAACAACAACAACAAAUGUAUCUGACUUAAACAGAUAAAACCACAACCCAUUUUACAGUGACACGAGUCACACAGGUAGACUGCAGUGUCUCCCCCUGUUUGUAAUGGUGGGAAACACUGAACUGGCAGCAGUCGGUCAUCAAAACAUUGGCCAAAUAACCAGUAUGUUCAGGCUUUAUGAGCAAAUACAGAAUCCCUUUGUGUUCAUUUCUCAAGCCGCAUUAAGACACACAUCACUUUAUUUAAUACGCUGCUUGCAAGUCGCUGUGUUGUGCCAGACUCUCAAUCAAACAUUUAGGACAAACCCACGGUCAUGAAGAUACUCAUCUAACGUUACAUGGAAUCUGCGUGAGGAAGAGGAGGAGGAAGAGGAGGAGGGUCCAUGUCGCUAAAUACCAACUUUCCACCGACCACUUUUCCCACCCAGUGUCGAUCUGCGCAUCGCGGAGAAAAACAAUCAGGUGUCUGGAUGCUAAAUGUUUAUAUUCUCAUCCAACCACAAUCACAUUCACUCUGUCCGCAUAGCGCCAUUUAUCUGGAUGGGUUUUUGUCUUUGUGUUUUUGAACUGCGACAAGCUGGAAGAAACAAGGCUGUUUUUAAAAUGUAAGGAGUAGAAGUAAAAAGUCGUCUGAAAAAUAAAUACUCCAGUAAAGUAUAGAUACCCCAAAUUUCUACUUAAGUGCAGUAAUGAAGUAUUUGUACUUCGAUACUUGACACCUCUGCAUCUCAGCAAAUUCAUGUUUCCUACGUUAGGUGCCACAAGCACAUUUAAAGAGGUUAAAGACACGUAGGAGAAGAGUCGUGUGGUUACUAACAAUAUGUGAGGAAAGUCAAUCUGCAGGGAAUACAUAUUUGAAAGUGAAACCAAAGACUUUAAAGCCUUCCUGUUUAAUAUUUCGUUGUUUUUCUUUAUUUCGAAUUGUCACUUGGCGUCGGAAUGUUGUGUUUUCAUUUAAAUAAAUAAAGACAUUCACACUAUGAAUCAAUGCAGAAAAAUUCCCCAUAAUGCAGUAAAUUACGUAGUGUUUUUUUUAACGCUAAACACACUCUUGCUGGAUAGAAUGUUCUCUUGAAGUCAACCCUACGAGCACCACACACACGACCUCCGUCCCUUUCCCGGCAUCGGGGUGGAACUAGAAACCUCAGACGUGGAUCUCUCAUAACAUCAAAUAAAACCCAAACCAUCCUCAUGGCUUGAGACCACGGGAGGAAAUGUAUUUUUCAGUGUUUUAGGCGAACCCACCCCGGGCCCCCGGGGGGCCGCGCUCCUGUGUUUUCAGAGCGAGUGUGAGUGGCACGUCUCAUUAAGGGCCGAGCGGCGGCGUUGUCUGCGAGGGUACAUCGGUCCGUCUCUGUGGGAUGUUUAUUAAAUUAAUAAAAAGUGGCUCAAGGCGAGCGGUAGCGGGGAAAGCCCGGGGCUCGGCCGUGAUUGGCACUCUCCGCCGCCCCGCGCUCUCCCUCCAGGGUCCGCACGCGUUUGCUUUAACUAACUGACCGUGACUGAGGAGAGAAGGCUGACAUGAAGCCCCCCCCCCCACUCCCCUUCUUAUCUGCCGGUCUGCCUGAGCCCUGUUUGCUUUGAGGGGGGUGGGGGGGUGUACAGGAGCUCAGUGAGACCUGCAGCAGUGUCUUGUUUUCUUGUUACCGUUGACUACAUCUUUUGAAAUGGAUCAAUUUGCCAAGCGGGAGAGGAAUGUGAUUGGAUGGUCGCCGGGCGGACAGCAGUAAGAGCACUCGGCCGUUAGAGCGAAGCAGCAGACAUUUUUUGUUUGUGCGAAGGUGUCCGCCAUGAACAGUUUGUGAAUACCUUUGACGACGCAGGCUUGUGCUCUUCUCUUUAGGUUGGGGGGGGGGGGGUGGGGGCAAAAUCCUUGUUUGAACCCCCCUCCCUCAGUGGGUGUAAGACCAACAAGCUGCGAGCUCAAGAGGUUUCACAUCCUUUAUCUUCAACCUGUUCAGUUCUCCACAUGCGGCCCUGAGCAUGGAAGCAUUUUUUUCUGCCAAGCUAGUCGCUCAGUGCCUGGUCGAUGUGAUGGUGAACUCCACAGGGGGGCUGAACAGGCUAGUGGACAUAAAGGAAAGAGAGGACCACGCGGGGCGGGGGUCGCCUGAGAGUGAUCGGAGGCUCCAGAGGGGCCGAUGAGUCUUGUUUGUGCGCAAGAAAAAAGAAUUUGUCAUUAUACAACCGUUUCUCACAAACACUCUAUUUAGACUACCGGCAUUAUGUUCCAAUUAAACACAAAGGGAAAAAGUCAGGCUUUUCAAACUGUUCAGAAAAUCUGCAUAUCGCCUUUCAGGAAAAAAACAAAAACAAAGGGAAAAAUUAAAAUAUAUUAUCAUCUUUUAAAAAUCCUUUUAAAAAUAAACAAGACAAACACAAACAAAACACAACAAAAAAGCCCCACUCUGUCUCUUCCACUUUAUAUCUCCCUGUCUCUCUCACUCUCUGCAGCUCGGCUGGGCGACUCUCGGAGGACACGGCGAGCUGAGACAACUCAUUUGCAUAUAAACUGGGAGAGGCAGGGAUUGUCAUCGGCGGCACAUUAGACGCAAGGAGCGCGAGGGGAGAGGAUUUUCAUGUGCAAAUUUCAGCCUCGCCAACUCUGUGCAUUAUUAUUUCAUCAGAGCCGAAGAAAAGGAAGCCCCUCCGAUCCCCAAAAACCGCGCCAUCAUCCCCACGGACACUUGGAGAGUCGGACCAAAUCCCCCGGCCGCGCCUCUCCCCCCAGAAGGCCCCGCUACUGAGUAGCUGUUUACAGCGGGGGGGCCCCGCGCAGCAGGAGGAGGAGUCAAUCUGCCUCCGAGAUAAGAGCCGAAACCACAGGAAAGAGGGAACAGAUAUACACCAGUUGUGACCAGCAGUAUUGGUGUUCCGUGCAUUAAUUGCUUGUAAACUGCGAGGCUGGAGGCUCGCCGGCUUUUAAGUUUAAAAAGGAGAUUACAGCCAAUUAGCGGGGCCUCUGAAAACCCCUCGCUGCCUGGGGAAUAGCGGCUGAUCCCUAAUGUGGGACAGCUGUGAGCAACAAAAGAACAGUCGCGGUCCUGCUUUUGAGAACGCACUCGCACGCGGAGCACUUUCAAAAAUACACACACACACACACACACACACACACACACACACACGUGUAUAAUCUCACAUGCAAACAGGAAAAUAGAAAAAAGGCCCAAUGGUAGCACUGGCUGCUAAGAAGCACUAUUACGAGCAUGAAAAAUGAAUGAGUGCAUAAAUGCGAGCGUCGCCAAACUGACAUGAAGUACGUUUGCAUGUUCCCAAAGUGACAAAGCGGGAACAGACGCGGAGGUAAAUAUGUUUUAAAAGGUGAGGGGGAAAACGUUUGUGGGUUGGGAAAACGUAUUUCCUCCCUUUAAAUCAAUUUGUCAGCUUCUUCUUAGAGACGCGUUAGCAAAAAAAAGAGCCGAGUGUUUCCCUGUAAACUGCCAUCUUUAAUUUCUUUGUCUGACGUGCUCCGCCGCACCACAACGCACACCAGAGACCGAGCAUGAGGUGAGCGAAAGGUUCAAAGCCCAGAUGGGAGCGCAGCCUGUGUACCCCUGAGCACGGUGGAUUACCUCAUUCACUCUCAUGUCAAACAGAAGGCAGGAAGAGGAGGAACACAAGUCAAAGGAUCUCCACAGGCUGCGUAAUCUACGACGAUUCGUGCCGAGCCCGCAGCGCGACUCCCGUCUUCCCCUCUAUCUCUUCUCGCUUUUUUUUCCCGCCUGUGUACCUUCUCUGUCAUGCUCGCUGUGCACCUGCACAUCUUCAACUGCACCCUGACAGCCCCCCCCAGCCCCCCCGCGCCCCUCGUACCCGCGCACACAUUAGCGUAAAACUGUUGUCAGCCAACUAGCAACUUCAGGAUGACGCCGCGUGGACAGAACAUGGAUUCCACGAGCUGUUUUUUGGUCUUCAAGUGUCAAAGAUAGCUUCAUGAUGGCAAAAUGUUUUGUUUUUGUUAAACCUGGUCUGCUUGUAAAGAAAACGUGUAACUUGUAACUUUGUAACCCAUGUAACUUAAGGGUAAGGUAGAUGGUUCAUUCUGUUCUUGGGAAAUCGGUCGUGUUCCAACCAGAACAUUGGUGGAACACGACCGAUUUCCCAAGAACAGAAUGAACCAUCUCGUCCUCAAAGCUACAGCCUGAAGUAGAGCGACUCCAUUCACUUAGACAGCAAAUUAAUAUUUUCUGCUGAUCCUCUCAUUAAGAACACUUUGCAGACUCAUUCAACAAAGAAUAUAAACACUAAUUGUUAAGAUAAGAAACAGAGUUGGGACUCAGGCAGUGGCAUCUCUUUCCAACCAUGACACUUCCAUCACCAAACGCUCGCUUGUGCAAAUGUGCGGUGCUCAGGGGGGUAUUUGUUUAUAGCGUGACCCUCUCAGUAAGGUCAACAGCUGUUUCCAGUCGGGCUUAGCGGCGACAUCGCCAUCCUUCGCCUUUUAAUGUGUCGCAGUUAACCGCGUUGUAAUUAGAACUAAUGACUUGCUCUCCGGCUAAUUGGCUGCGUGAACUGUGAGCAGGGAAACGCCACAAGGAGGGCAGAAAUAAAAGAAAACCAUAAUAACAUGGAAGUUGUGAAGCGGGCAGAGGCUGACCGAAGGAAGCCGCUAACCUUCUUAUCAAACAGCAUUUUUAAUUAGAGAUAAUCAAUAUUCAAGGCAAUGGAUUCACCACAGUUUAUAUAUCCAUCAAGGAUCAUGAAUACUUAAUGCUUUAAAAAAAAACAUAUCAAACCCCAACAUACCCAAAUUUUUAUUCCCCAAGUCUGUGGUAAUCUAGCAAAUCAGAUAUUAUUAAUUAUAAAUUGAACCAUUACAGCACGCUUCAGAAGCUCACGUUCACAAAUUGCAUCGGCAUCUGGGGUUGAACAUGAACUUGCUCUCCUGAUAUUUCCAAAGCUCGUAUGCAAAGUCGCUGAGUCUGAUUCACAUGCAGGGUCCGUUCUGUAUCCUGUAGUUCCAUUUAGAUCAAAGACUCAAGUAGACACAGAAUCACAGGAUAUCCAGAAUAUCUGAUCAUUUCCCCCCACUUCACCUUGCUUCUGAGCAUCUCCGCGCUCCAGAGAAGAUCUCAUUAAAUCACAGAUGUAAGAAUCAGGGAGAGAAAUACACAACAGACACAUCCCUGCUAUUGUCUCUGCUAUGAGGCCCGGUGAAUCCAGGUGAAUCCAGGUGAAUCCAGGUGAGGCUGUUUGACGAUCCUCCGCGUUACAGAACGGCGGACGCCGAGUGGAAGCUUCCGCGGUCACAAUAACGAAAUGAAAAGUCCUUCCUGGGAUUUAUUCCCUAAAAACACACCUGGACACCACUGGAAGCUGAAGCCUCUCAGGAGCCGGAUAUGAAACCGUGCAGCCCGAGGACAAGGCGAGCAAAAGGCAUUAAAAUAAAUAAAGAUGUAAAAAAAAAAAAAAAACAUGCCCCCAAACCACUCUUACAGACACAACAUGGCAAACAGUGGAAAACAAUAGAGUUAUUUCAGCGCAGAGCAGUAGCGCGAUGGCAUCCUGGGGCACAGGGCUGCAGGGUGAGGCGGGGGCCUCCCGGGCGGGGGUGGAAGCAAGGGUGCUCUAAUGGGCUCGGGGAGGCUGGCUGGCCCUGCUGGAUGGCCCACAGGAGGCCCUAGCCUGUGGUCUUGCCUUGGGCAGGCCUGCCACAGCAGCAGUCAGGUGGGCUAACAGACUGAGGGAGAGGAGGGCCUCCCCAUGUGGCCUGCCAUCAACCCCCCACCCCGACUACGCCCGCCAAAAACAUACCCUCCCUCUGGUAAAAUGUCAAGGGUCGGGGAACAACAAGCUGUGCAGAAACAAAACAAGAUGUGGAUUUAACAUCUCCAUGUUGCAUCUUGAGUCGAUCUGUCCUGGUUUUACAUUCAGACUGAAUGUGUCCGUGUCUCUGAUGCCGGAUGAGAAGUGAAAAGUCUGGGUUGAAGUCAAUGGUCAUUUACUGAAUUAAGCAUUGGCACGAGCUCUCUGAGUCCAACAUUAUUAAUGUAUUUUUUACAAAUCUGCAGCUGUGCUGAGGAGUUACUCUGCGCUCAUACCGUCGACCUUUAGCCCCAACGCUCCCUGAAGCCCCAUAUCCGUAUAGCCAUGUAGUAGGUAGGAGGUAAAGAUCAGGGCGGCCCGACCCCCAGAGCCCCUCCUCCUCACCGGCGAGGCGUGUGAAGCCUCGGACACGACUCUCGGCACGGGAAAACAGCAGCUUCUCUCACCGCUGAAGGUGGCACAGAGGUAACCAUCAAAGAGUUAGUUUGCGGCGCUCCGGGGAAGAGGAGGGGACGGAGAGGGAAGAGGACUUCGGCUCUCCCGAGUCAGAAGGGAGGUCGCUGCGAGGCCGUGUUUACAGAGCCCGCUGAUGUGUGCUGCUGUUUUAACAUCUGGAAUGAAGCACCGCAGCCAUCACUGCAGGCAAAGUAGUCUGUGUCCUGUGUGUGUGCAGUUAUCCCAAAAGUCUCAGAGAUGAUACUUUAAAAGGUAUUUGCAUUAUUUCCUGCAUAGUGAGGUGAGGGUCAGUGUUUCCCCGGAGAAUGUAGACAUCUCUGCACAAACAGCUAAAUACUUUAUACGAUAAGGCAGCAGGAGAAUAUUUGGUUUGCUGACGGCCCCAAAAACUGUGUUUUUCUUUUGCAAGAGACAUUUUGGUUCAACAAAUGUGAAAAUUGAUUCAGAACUGAUUUGCCCUAUUUACGCUGGUUUCUUUCUAUGAAAUAAACCUAAGUGGUCAACAAGAGCUGCUCUCAAAUAGAUGCAGUGUUUUUCAUAAUUUGAUCAAUCUCUGAGCAUUUCUCUUAUUUAUUGAUAAAUGUCCUGAAUUAUUGAUGGACGAUUGCUGCGAGUUCACCACUACACCCUCCCACACAGCUGGCUUUAACAGGUGCUCAUUAGAGAAAGGUCAUGAAUAUCAGACAGACGUGUGCAUCGUAUUCACCAAAAAAACUAAACGUUGCAUUAUAACGUCAGUGUGUCAUUGACCUCGGCCCGAAUCAAAGCACGUGUGUGUGUGUGUGUGUGUGUGUGUGUGCCGCAGUGUGUCUCAAAAGAUCUGCUCUUAAACGACACAGCGUCUGCCAGUUAGGACGAGGAGAAAAUCGCUCUGUUUUGAACUAUGUGGAUAUAAAAAAAAUAAAAAACAACAACAAACAGUUGGCACCCCUUUAACAAUCAAGAACAAUAAAUGCGCAGUUAUUUCUCUCGGUGGCGGCGAUGUUUACAGACCUGCUGUGCUUCUCCUGUUUCUACAGACCAGUUAACCCAUAUUUCAAAACACUCGACUGAAAAUAGAAAAACAAAGUCAAACUAUGCCAUAUCACGGGUGUCAAGUGAAGUAUGAUUGCAUAUUUGAAUUGGAAAUCUGGCAAAGCGACGAUAACAACCCCGUGCACUCUCUCGGAUGGCGCGAAGAGGGUUAAGUGAACAAAGCCUUGAAAAAGAGUCCAAUCCUCCAGCUCCUGCCCCGAUCCUCGCAGUUACCCCCACAAAGUACACAAGAAAAAAGAAAAUAGCAUCAUGCAUAUCAUUCAUUAGCAGCAAAUAAAAGAAAUUCUCUCUAAUAGUGCCCCCAAAUCCCCGAGCUCCCAGCACCGCGGAGCGGGGAACUAAAGAAACGGGGGGGAGAGGGAUGCAAAAGGAAGCCGUCUCCCUCAAGUGCUUGUUAGGCCCAAAUUAUUAUGGCGAUGAAUAAUUUUAAAAAUAAAUAAGAAAAAUAAUAAAUAAAAAAAAGGGAAACAUUUAUAGAUCUAAGUAUUAUCAGAGGAGCCGCGGGUGUGUUGCCAAGCUCUCUGGGCCCGUUUGAAAUCCGCCUUUGUUUUUCACUUUGAUCUUUAACUGCUAACCUAUCCACCGCUUCACCUGAUCCCCCCGUUAGCGCUCCCUCACCCGCUUCCUCCCGUUCAACUCUUCCACGCGUGGCACGCCGCUGCCCACAUUAAGUGGUAAUCAUCAUCAUCAUCAUCAUCAUCAUCAUCGACGUCGUAGUCAUCAUCCCCACCAUCAUCAUCAUCGUUUUUUGCAUAGUUCUCGUCAUUAACUUUUGCUUUUCUUCCACAACAAUAAUUAACAUACUGCAGUGGGAGCAGCAGCGAGGCGUAAAUGAGGGAGUACAGAGGAGCGUGAGCAAAGGGAAGAGGGAAGCCAGCCAUGUUGGGGGGGAAGAAAGAGAGGAAGGAGACAUGUGAGGAGAGCUGCGACCAGCUCAUCUUGGCUUGCUUCCCCUCAACUUAUUAGGAUUUCCAGCGCUUCCCUUUCCCGUUGGAAUAGAAUCAGAAACAGAAUCCGGUUUAUUGUUUCAUGUUUCUAUUCAUCUCGUUUCCUCUGUGCUCAUAUGCUUACUGUAGAUCUUCUCCCCCGUUUCUUCUUUCCUCUCUUCUGGUUUCCUGUACUAGCACCCUGUCCCAGCUCAUGUACUUUCCUUUACUCGUUUUAUUUGGUAUAUUGCUUCCUUCUCUUCUGGUUUCCUCUAGUUUCACUUUCUCCCUGUUGUCCACUUCUCUCUCAUCUCAUAUACUUCCUCCCUCACUUAUCUUUUACUUGCCCAUCUCCUCGUUUACUUCUUUUAGUCUUGAUUCCUCUCAUCACCAAUAUUUGCUGCAUCCCCUUAAGGCUUCUUUUCUUUCUUCUUGUUGUAUUCACUCAUUUCUUUUUAGAGUUCUACGAUUUUCUUUUUCUCUCUGCAGAUGUUCAGUCCAUUCAUCUGAUGUCCUUUCCAUUUGGAUUUCUUGUUUCCUCUUUUCUCAUAGAUAAUUAUUCGGCAAUUAUAUUCCUCUUGCCUUUUGUGUCCUUCCCUUAAUCUCAGAACGGUUUCAUUUAUGUCCUCUUUUUGUAUGAUCUCAUUUUCAUUCCACUUUUCGAUAUUUCACUGGGCUCCUGUUCUUCUUUCCUUAUCAACCGGUCUCCUCUCACUGACUUUCAUCUCCUCUUGCUGCUUUCAUAUUGUUCCCUUUCCACUCAUUUCCAAUACUUUUACCUAUUUUGCCGCUUACCUUUUGUCCAACCAGCUUCCUCCUUUCCUCUUCUCUUAUUUCAUAUCGUACUUUAUCUCCCCUUACUUCCUCUUUAAUCGUUUUCCUCUUUAUUCAUCUCAUCACUACUUUCUCUACUUUCUUCACAUUGGUUUCCUUUGUUUUUGGGGCUCAUUUCUUCCAUUCUUUUACAAAAAUGUCUCUCCCCACCGUCUCCUCCCGGGGUUUCUGACCUCCAGUGCAGGGACAUCCCAACCGUGCGCUCUGUGCCCGGUCUCUGAUUGAUAUUGUAAUGAGAUUUAUCCCAACAUCCCUUCUUCCCUGUACACUUCCCCACCUCCCUCCUCUCCUGGUGCCCCUCAACCCCCCUCUGCUCCCUGAGCCCCCGAGUGGCUCGCUUCAUUCUGUUUCAUCACACAUCAAACAGGCCUGACGCGCUACGCAGGCAGGGACUGCAACAUCUGCACGAGGAAGCAGGCAGGGGUCUGGUGUGUGUGUGUGUGUGUUCUCCGGCCUCUGAGGGAGGGUGAGGGGUGGGGGAGGCCACGGCGUGCUACGAGCAGAUGUCACCAGUACCCGAACAGCAGGCUGGGGGGACGCCGUGGGGAAGGAGAGACGUAGUGAGGGACCCACCCCUGCAGCCCAGCCUGGGGAGUCUCUCCGAACACUCAACCUCUGCUCCCCUCUCCUCACCUCGCAGCGCAACCCCCCUCCUUCCCCCCUUUCUUGCAACAGUACAAUUAGGUAAUUAGUCACCUCCGCACUAAUAACCUUAUUAUUACUUGUCUGUCUUUUUCAAAAUCAGUGUCCUCCACAGUUGCUCCCCCGAGUGCUGACGCAGAGGUGGAGGUGCAGAGGAGGCGCACAAUUAACUUUGUCUGGCUGCUCCCCGUGGCACCGAGAGAGCCCCGGCUCUGAUCCAGACCAAAGCAAAGGCCGCUUUUCUUUUAAUGGAGACAGAGAGUCGGCUCUUUGGAGGAGGUCAAGAUCGCUCUCACAUCCAUUAACACCACAGCUAUUUCAUCAGUGCUGCGUUCUGGCAGGCGGCAGCAGCAGAGGGACUGGGAUCAUCAGCCUCUGCUGAGCGCAUCCGCUGACAUUUCCCCAGUUAGUGGAAGUGGCAAUUGGGAGCUUUCGCUGUCAAUGAGUCAUCAAAGAGCUUGUUUGAGAACAGCUGUUGACGUCAGUGCACUGCCAAAAGCAUUAACCCUAGUUGAGAAGUGAAGUUUUUUUUUCUCCCCCCGAAUAGCUGAUGAUCCUUUCAUCUGCAUGGGCAACAUGCACAUGUCAAAGUUCACACAAAUGUUAUCAGUCGUCAAAAAGGGUUCGUCUUUUGACAGCAUUUUUUAGUCUUAGGAGAGGUUGAGAAGAUCAUAAUCAUAAGAAUUUUUUUUUUUUUUUAUGUUUUAUAUUUUACAUUACAAACGUUAGUCGUGAUUUUACAACAAUGAACAGAAAAUUAUUUUUCUUUAUUCUUUAAGUAAACAAACUGGACAUUAAUAUAACUUUGGACCAAAGAGGUGGACCAACCAAGAGAAGGUAAUUCAGCUCUGAAUGGAAACAUGAUGGGAUAAAGUCAACAUGUAGAGCGCUGAAAGAUGUUUUGAUGUUCCUAAUUUGCUUACGAAGACUUUUGAAUAGAGUAACUUAGGAAGUUUGGCCUUUAGUUAGUUGGCAACUUGCACGAUUAUGUAUUUGUAUCUGUGUAGCAAAUUUGAGGUGGAUAAAAUAGAUUUAUCAAACAGCACAUGGAAGGUGAGAAGAAAGAAAUGUCGGUUUGAAUAAGCAAUAAUAACUGAUAAAACAUGCAGAAACAUCGGCCCCGUCUGUCAGCUGACCACAUCUACUUUUUCCAAACAAUCCACAAACCGCAGCGGACUACAAGUCCCCCAGCAGCCAUAAAACCAGCCUCGCCCACUCCUCAUAAUCCCGUCUCGUGUUUUUAUGUUUGUGGGCUCCGAAUGCCCCGCUGUGCUCUUAGCGACAGCCGUCGCGUCGCCCUCUUUAAUAUUCAGACGUCUUCCAGCCAAACAGCUGGUUUGCAUGGCAGAAUGAACGAGAACCCGUCGCGACUCCUGACAUUCGGGAGGCAGGUAGAAGGACCGAGGACUUGAAUCACGGUUGCUGUUGAAAGCUGACAUCGCAGUCCCCCGGCACAGCAAUGAAGACAGCAGACUCCACUUUUUAAAUGUACUGUGGGGGGUUGUUAGCGGGAAAGUCUUCACAUUCGUGUACAACCACACUUGUGUAUAAAUUACAAUGAAUAAAACAUCUACACUUCAUAUGCAUGGAUUUUUAGCCAAGGAGACACACGUCGAAGCUCAGAGAGGGAGAAAUUAAUCGCUGCAGCCAGUAACAAUGUUUCUCCUCCAUAGCAAACUGCUGCAAAUAGAUUCCACAAGCAGGCGCGUGGUCGGCGGCAGCCGUUAUUGGACGCAGCGGAAUGCAUUGCUUUUGCUCGACGGCGGCGCUCGUGCACUUUAUCACGGCCCGGUUAAUGAGCGGUAACUUCCCUGCGUCUGCGGGAAGCAAGUCCGGCAGCGCAGCCCACAUGCAUUUUUUAUUACUCAGAGCUUGUUGAUAUUUCCCAUUUGUUUCAUUUGGGAACAUUUGCAUGGGCUAAGCAGAGGCCCGCUGCAGGGCUCACCGGGCCACGCUGCCGUAAAUUACAGGCUUCCAGCUGUCCAACAAACCGCAGCAAUUGCUAAUGGCUAGAGAGGUCAGCGGCAUCCUUUUCGACAUUCGGCCUGUUGUAAACUCCCCGGGGAGGCUGCUCUGUCCAUUUCAAGUCUCUGAUCAAACCUUGUGAAACGUCGCAAAUUACCAUCAACACAGUUCUCUUUGCAGUCCUCUGGGUCUGCUCGUCUGACAGAACCUCAAAAGCUACUCUGCAGAUAUUUACACGUGGUUUAAAGUUUGGGACGGAUUUCAUUUGGUUCUAGACGAAUCAUCCUGUAUGGGCCACACACAUUUAGUGAAUGGACUACAUGGCAUGUUUCUAGCGCGCGCGCACACACAUGCACACACACAGAGACACACACACACACACACACGCACACACACACUGACAGUGUCAGGAGCCGAUUGGAUUGUGCAUGUGGACAGGAGGAGCCGAGGAUCGACUCACUGACCCCAAAACAAAGGCUCUAUCUCCUACCUUAAUUUAAUUUUGAUCAAAUAAUGUAUUAAUUAAGAAAUAACUUUCAGAUCUCCUUAACUUUUUGAGUUUGCUCUACUGGUAUGACAAUAUUUUCCUAUAAUCUGUUACCCAUUCACAACUGCUUCCUAAUUUAAGUGGCAUAUGCCAGUCUGCUAUAUACAUUCCAAGUCUUCCAAAAUCAUCCGCUUGCCUUACAAAUUAAGUCUUAAUUGUCUUUAAAACGGUUGUUAACAAAGUAGUCUUUGUGUGACACAAAAUGAAGUACAUCUUUAAUCUAAUCCGUGCUGGCUUGUUGAGAAAUAAAGCAUGAUUUUUUCUCUUCUAAUAUUCAAACAAAUGCAAUUAAUGAUAAACAUAUCUAAAAUAUACUGAACCAUUGUCAAGUGGUCUGAGGCCCAAACAGUGAGGCCUAAGAGUAAAAAAAAGAUAAUUGCAUUGUGUAGUACUGUAUUGUGCGUUUCUGUGCCACUGCACAAUCAAUCCUAAUUAGCAGCAGCUGUGAUCAAUCACUGCUACAGUGUUGAGCUGGAGAUGAAGGGCUGAAUAGCAAUACGUCCGCGACAGGACAGGGCUGAUUGACAGGCAGACUUCUAACCCGAUCGCAGCGCCGAGACCAGGGUGGCUGCUUCCAGGUGUCUCAGAUUUGUGGUAAUUGACAGGUGCAGGGAGACGUUCUGGGGUCCUGGUGGAGCUCGGCGCCGUUUAUGCAGAUUAACACGUCAAAAGUACAAAUGAAUAAAUAAACUGGUGCGCAGAAAUCAGGCAUUUAGCCUGAGGGGACGCCAUCAUUACCAGAUUAAACAAAGUGACUAAUCACAAAAACAAUCCGCCUCAGAAGUGGAGGAAGUCAAAAGACGGCAAAAGCUUAGGGGUAAAAAGCUAAGUCAUCGUAAUUAUUCAGCUAGCGACAAACAAAGAUAUGAAUUCAUAAUGAAUGGAGCAGUGACGGAUAAUUCUUUAUUUUCCAACAGCUAUUGUAGAUUAAGAAGCAGAAGGUGAAUGCUUUGAUGAAAGAGACAGUUCUCGACUUUCUACAAUCAUUUACAUAAAGGACGUAUAGGAGAAUGUUUUUGACGAGGGAACAAUUGCAAAAUUCAAACCCAAAUUGAGGCUUGAGGGGAGUUCACAGAGAUGGCACAAAUUCCCAAAGCAGCCAGCGAGCGCGGGUACCUGAAGCAGAGGCCUUGUGGGAAUAGUUUGGGUCAGUCUAAAGAUGAAUGGGGGGGGGGGGGGGGGCGCAACGGAAAACAAAAAAACGAGCCCCACACUGGGGGUUUGGACACUUAAAAAGAAAAUCCUUCUUCCUUAAAAACCCAAAUGAGCGGAUGUGGGGUCCUCGAUCCAAGCACACGCCCCGGCCGCAUGCCCAUAAUUUAAGUCUUUAGAUAUUCAAGUCUGAGCCAGGACUGUUUUUUUCCCCUCAUACUGACCAGAGCAGCCGUAACCUCAUUUUGAACUUCCUUCACUCCUGGACACAACGCUGCUGUAAAACACAUCGCUUCUCUUAAAUUGGCCUAAAAGCGCCGCUGGUUUCCAGACUUCCCUCCACGCGGCACUAACCCCGGACCAAGCAUCCGGCACCGAACCCUCGCCUAUGGAUUUUUCCAACUAUCUGUUUACUCCUCGUCUGCACACUAUCCCAGCUGCUUGGAGAGCAUCGUUUGCCCCGAGGCGAUCAGCAGGGCUGAGCUUGUUCCAGUCUUUGAUCAUCGUUCAGCCAGCGGAUUAACAUAUGCACGCUCUCUUCCUCCCUUUGUCGCUGAGCUUCAUAGUAAAUCUGCGGCCUUCCUUCCGUCUCUCUCCUCCCCGUCUCGCUCUAAUAUGGGACGAACCAUGAAUCAAUCACGCCGCUUUACGCCUCGUGUCCGACACGGAUGCAAAUCACAGAAGGAUCUGUGGGUAAAGCUCUGCUUAUUAAAACCCGAUGCCUCUCAUUACUACCCGCUCGUGCACAUGCAUGUCGCCAAGACGAACAGCAGGUAGCCGGCGUGAAAUACAGCAACAUCGGUGGAGAUAAAACACAGACAGACGAGAUUAACCGAUUUCUGCGAUUCAUCUCGACGGAGGCCAAAGCUAAGCCUCACCCACUUUGCCAAAAGUAAAAGGGAAUCGAAAGCUAAUAAAGCUAAUUACCGCUUCAUUGUAGGAGGUUACAGCCUCGUCUCAACGAGGCUUAAGUCUCAGGGAAAGCGGCGGUGAUGAGGCUCGCCUUCGUACCUGCUCUCAAAGUGCACUAAUUACAGUUUGGUUUCAGCCUACAACCCCCCUCAGUUAGCUCGCUUAAAGGGACGGGCAUCUGGGGCUUAGAACUACACGCAGAAGGACUCUGCAAGUAGGACACUGACUAAAUGUGCGUCGGAGAAAGUGUCUAUUUCCCAGUAGACAGGUGACUUUUUUUCUUCUUUAUUGAAAUGCAACCUAUGUGGUUCUCUAAUGGCCACUGUUGAGACACCACCCCCCCAGCUCUCCUCUCUUAUUUAUUACAACCUAAUUAUAUCAGCGUGUCAGCUAACGUAAGCAGCUCCUUGCCCUAAAUGCCGCCAGGCUCCCGAGUCAGUUCUCCCUGUGUUUUCCAAGGCGUGUACCAUUUAACCACGGCUCAUUGAGGCACACAGGGUUGUUUAGCCUGCACCCCCCCCACCCCCCACCCCCAUCUUCCCCCCAGUCAGUCCAUCAAGAAUGGAACGCACACGCGAUGAAUAAAAAUACAGUAACAUGAGCUGAGGUCUGGCAAGAGGAGGAGGAGUGAGUCUCCGACGGGUUCCCCCCCCCGAUCAUCAUGAUCGGUGUGUCGGCCUGGGCAGGCCGGCGAGGGGCCCUAUUAAAAAACCCUAGCCCAGCUUGCCGGAAAAGACCUGUCCUCUCACCUCUGAAAACAACAACCCUGCACGCCCCGACAGCGAGACAAUCAACCGUGCGCUGCUCAGGGUGAGGCGGCGGUGACCCGGCGUGCCAAGUCGAGGCCGGUUCUACACACUGAUGAGUGCUUUCGCAGACUUCAAACGGGGGAGGGUGGUGCAGCAGACCUCCCGACGACCUGCUUGUGCUGCCUUGUCUCCUGCUCUCUGCUUUUAUUUGAGGUUGAUACGGGCAGACGGAUCGGCAAAUAUCGAUCACGGAGUGCUCUGUAAAAUUCUCCCUGCAGGAUUGAGAGGUGAUUACAGGGCCUGGACCCAGCUGAUGCAGACUGUGUGUGUGUGUGUGUGUGUGUGUGUGUGUGUGUGUGUGUGUGUGUGUGUGUGUGUGUGUGUGUGUGGGAGUGUUUGCAUUUAGGUUUUUCCUAUCCUACCUGUCAGACAGGCCAAAGACAGAAACACAAUAUUCUUUCAUUCGAGUGUCUCCAAUCAUCUGCAGAAGAGAGACAUCUUUAGAAAAGAGAAAAAGCCCCCAGACAGACAGGCAGGCACACCGUACAACACAGAAAAUAGGUUAUAAAGGGCGGGGAAUAAUGCAUGUGAAUCUCAACCAUCGAAAUUCAAAUGAUUUGGAUGCUUCCCCAACCAGCCCUCCUCUCCUUGUCUGCUUUCUGUCGCGGCCUCAGAACUCACCAAUAGGAUGGGAGGGGAACGGGCUGCAGAUUCAGAGGGUUUGCAUUAGGAAUGGCCCGUUAUUAAUUAAGCUUGUGGGGAAGAGUUUUUUUGACAGCGGCUCCCGAGACAGCAAGCGGUGUGGAUCUUGGCGCUGACCUGGCCCAGCAGGGGUAGGAGCCGUGUCUUUGAGGUGGUGGCGGGGUGGAGUGGGGGAUGAC